GAAAGGUUAAAUUGAAACAGAAGAGCCAUAUUACUAAAACCAGAGGUCAUGUUGAAAUGACCUUGUUGAUUUAGCUAACUGGUGAUUCCUUCCAGUCAUAUCCCUUAAUCCUUAAUCUGUCUCAGAUGUUCCAUUAUUAAUGAUAGAACUAGAGUAACUGAUUUGGAAAAGAGCUAAA